rnacentral:rRNA from 1 species
UACGUAGGCAGCAAGCGUUGUUCGGAAUUACUGGGCGUAAAGAGUACGUAGGUGGUUUGCCAAGUCCGAUGUGAAAUCUCCUGGCUUAACUGGGAGGGUGCGUUAGAUACUGGCAGGCUUGAGUGUGGGAGAGGAGAGCGGAAUUCCUGGUGUAGCGGUGAAAUGCGUAGAUAUCAGGAGGAACACCUGUGGUGUAGACAGCUUACUGGACCAUUUCUGACGCUGAGACACGAAAGCGUGGGUAGCAAACAGG